AUGACCAUAUACCUACUUUAUGAGAAAAAAUUGCAGCACCAUCCUCUUGUAAUCUUGUACCAAGGUAAUGUGCAACAACUUUUUGCCAAGAAGAGUUACUGCAAUGAUGUUCAUAAUCUUAGUAGGCCUGUAAGGAUUGGCAUUGAGGCCACGAUUGCAAUUGAAUCUUAAAAUUGAUCAAUAUUUUACCUAUUAUAUGUUUGCGAGAUACUUCCAGCAUCUACAGCCUCGCGAAGAUUGUCAAUUUUACCACCUUUUGUAGAGCAUACAAUCAAAAUAUAGAACAAUGCAUAGC
rnacentral:lncRNA from 1 species